rnacentral:rRNA from 1 species
UACGAAGGGGGCUAGCGUUGUUCGGAAUUACUGGGCGUAAAGCGCACGUAGGCGGAUCGAUCAGUCAGGGGUGAAAUCCCAGGGCUCGACCCUGGAACUGCCUUUGAUACUGUCGAUCUGGAGUAUGGAAGAGGUGAGUGGAAUUCCGAGCGUAGAGGUGAAAUUCGUAGAUAUUCGCAAGAACACCAGUGGCGAAGGCGGCUCACUGGCCCGGUACUGACGCUGAGGUGCGAAAGCGUGGGGAGCAAACAGG